rnacentral:rRNA from 1 species
AUUGAACGCUGGCGGCAUGCUUUACACAUGCAAGUCGAACGGCAGCGCGGGCUUCGGCCUGGCGGCGAGUGGCGAACGGGUGAGUAAUGCAUCGGAACGUGCCCAGUAGUGGGGGAUAGCCCGGCGAAAGCCGGAUUAAUACCGCAUACGACCUGAGGGUGAAAGCGGGGGACCGAAAUGCCUCGCGCUAUUGGAGCGGCCGAUGUCGGAUUAGCUAGUUGGUGGGGUAAAGGCUUACCAAGGCGACGAUCCGUAGCUGGUCUGAGAGGACGACCAGCCACACUGGGACUGAGACACGGCCCAGACUCCUACGGGAGGCAGCAGUGGGGAAUUUUGGACAAUGGGGGCAACCCUGAUCCAGCCAUGCCGCGUGCGGGAAGAAGGCCUUCGGGUUGUAAACCGCUUUUGUUCGGGAAGAAAUCCUCUGGGCUAAUACCCCGGGGGGAUGACGGUACCGGAAGAAUAAGCACCGGCUAACUACGUG